rnacentral:rRNA from 1 species
UACGGAGGGGGCUAGCGUUGUUCGGAAUUACUGGGCGUAAAGCGCGCGUAGGCGGACCUGCAAGUCGGGGGUGAAAGCCCGAGGCUCAACCUCGGAACUGCCUUCGAUACUGGCGGGCUCGAGGCCGGUAGGGGGAAGUGGAAUUCCCGGUGUAGUGGUGGAAUGCGUAGAUAUCGGGAGGAACACCAGUGGCGAAGGCGGCUUCCUGGACCGGUUCUGACACUGAGGAGCGAAAGCGUGGGGAGCGAUCCGG